AACGAACGCUGGCGGCAGGCUUAACACAUGCAAGUCGAACGCCCCGCAAGGGGAGUGGCAGACGGGUGAGUAACGCGUGGGAACAUACCCUUUCCUGCGGAAUAGCUCUGGGAAACUGGAAUUAAUACCGCAUACGCCCUACGGGGGAAAGAUUUAUCGGGGAAGGAUUGGCCCGCGUUGGAUUAGCGAGUUGGUGGGGUAAAGGCCUACCAAGGCGACGAUCCAUAGCUGGUCUGAGAGGAUGAUCAGCCACACUGGGACUGAGACACGGCCCAAACUCCUACGGGAGGCAGCAGUGGGGGAUAUUGGACAAUGGGCGCAAGCCUGAUCCAGCCAUGCCGCGUGAGUGAUGAAGGCCUUAGGGUUGUAAAGCUCUUUCACCGAUGAAGAUAAUGACGGUAGUCGGAGAAGAAGCCCCGGCUAACUUCGUGCCAGCAGCCGCCGUAAUAC
rnacentral:rRNA from 1 species